rnacentral:rRNA from 1 species
UUUGACCUCGGAUCAGGUAGGGAUACCCGCUGAACUUAAGCAUAUCAAUAAGCGGAGGAAAAGAAACCAACAGGGAUUGCCCUAGUAACGGCGAGUGAAGCGGCAACAGCUCAAAUUUGAAAUCUGGCUCUUUCAGGGUCCGAGUUGUAAUUUGCAGAGGGCGCUUUGGCUUUGGCAGCGGUCCAAGUUCCUUGGAACAGGACGUCACAGAGGGUGAGAAUCCCGUACGUGGUCGCUAGCUAUUGCCGUGUAAAGCCCCUUCGACGAGUCGAGUUGUUUGGGAAUGCAGCUCUAAAUGGGAGGUAAAUUUCUUCUAAAGCUAAAUACUGGCCAGAGACCGAUAGCGCACAAGUAGAGUGAUCGAAAGAUGAAAAGCACUUUGGAAAGAGAGUCAAACAGCACGUGAAAUUGUUGAAAGGGAAGCGCUUGCAGCCAGACUUGCUUGCAGUUGCUCAUCCGGACUUUUGUCCGGUGCACUCUUCUGCAGGCAGGCCAGCAUCAGUUUGGGCGGUGGGAUAAAGGUCUCUGUCACGUACCUCUCUUCGGGGAGGCCUUAUAGGGGAGACGACAUACCACCAGCCUGGACUGAGGUCCGCGCAU